UUGCGUAUUAUAUUUACUGGUGCGGUGACGCAGUGCAGUGACCUGCUCCGAGUCUGGUUCCUAUCACAGUAUGGACGUAAGCCUACCCAGGGUAAGCCACAAGACCCCGAUCUCCCGUUUUCUCCAUCCAGUCACUACCAGCUACCCUCUUCGGGUCGUCGCUACAGAGUUUCUCUACGGCCAGUAUCAACCGAAGAGUCAAAUAAACGUAUUUUUUUUGUUAAGGAAUUUAAAAACAUAAACAAUAUAACAUCAAAGUGUACCACACACAUUGAUUCCUAAAACACGUGUUGACCUUUGUAUAAUAAAACAAAUGGGUUCGGUAUAAUAAACAAUUAAAACAAAAUAAGUAUAAAAAUUGUUUUAAAGGUUUAAUUCCUUAUGUACUCAUGUUACAUUACUAUUAUGUAUACAUAAUUAAUAAUUGAAAAUAAUAUAAUUUUUAUUUUAAA